rnacentral:ncRNA from 1 species
AUUAAGUUAAAUAAAAGCUUAAUGGUUAAGUUUAUUUUUGAAAUAUAUGUUUUUAUUUAAAGAGUUUUUUGCAGUAUUUAAUUUUUUAUAUUUUUUAAAUAUUGAUUGAGCAAUAAAUUUAAAUUUUGGCAAAAUUUGUGCCAGCAGUCGCGGUUAUACAAAUAAUGUUAUUUAACUUUUUAGAGAAGAAUUUAAUUUAAUAUAAAAAAUAUAGUAUAAAUUUAUUAGGUAAAAUUUUAAUUUUAUAGAAGUUUUUUUUUAUGAAAAUUUUAAUUUUUAUGAAAAACUAGGAUUAGAUACCCUAUUAUUUUAAUGUAAAUUUAUUUCUUAAUUAGUAUUAGUUAUUUCUUGAAAAUUAAAUUUUUUGGCGGUGUUUUAUCCAUUUAGAGGAACCUGUUCUGUAAUUGAUACUCCACAUUAAGACAAACUUGUUUUUUGUAUGUAUAUCGUCGUUUUAAAAAAUUUUUUCAGGAUAAUAAUUUUUAAGAUUUUUUAUUAUAAAAUAGUUCAGAUCAAGGUGCAGCUUUAGACAAGGAGAAAUGGGUUACAAUAAUUUUAUUUAUACGGUUAAUAAGUUUUAAUUUUAUUAUAAGGUGGAUUUAAAAGUAAUUUUUUAGGAUUUUUUAUUUUGAUAAGGGAUUUAAUGCAUGCACAUAUCGCCCGUCGCUCUCGUUUAUAAUUUGAGAUAAGUCGUAACAAAGUAGGUGUACCGGAAGGUGUUCCUAGAUUGAC